GAUGAACGCUAGCUACAGGCUUAACACAUGCAAGUCGAGGGGCAGCACAGUGUAGUAAUACAUGGGUGGCGACCGGCGCACGGGUGCGUAACGCGUAUCCAACCUUCCCGUUACUCAGGGAUAGCCUUCCGAAAGGGAGAUUAAUACCUGAUGGUGUUCAAAUUCCGCAUGUUAUUUGAACUAAAGAUUUAUCGGUAACGGAUGGGGAUGCGUGACAUUAGGUAGAUGGCGGGGUAACGGCCCACCAUGCCUACGAUGUCUAGGGGUUCUGAGAGGAAGGUCCCCCACACUGGAACUGAGACACGGUCCAGACUCCUACGGGAGGCAGCAGUGAGGAAUAUUGGUCAAUGGUCGGAAGACUGAACCAGCCAAGUAGCGUGAAGGAUGAAGGUUCUAUGGAUUGUAAACUUCUUUUAUACGGGAAUAAAACGUCCCACGUGUGGGAUCUUGUAUGUACCGUAUGAAUAAGCCACGGCUAACUACGUGCCAGCAGCCGCCGCAGUAA
rnacentral:rRNA from 1 species